UUAAAAAAAAUGUUUUUAAUAUUCAAAUUAAAGCGACCAAAAGUAUGUUAUUUUUCCUUUUAAUAUUAGGAUGUUAUUGUCAUAAAAUAUUGGCUUUUUCGUGUUAGUUCGCAACUUCUUAUUAGAAUAUUUUGGCUUUAUUCUUGUAGAAUGACUGCAGAUUUUUUCAUUUUUGCUGUUUUGUAGUAUUCUUGUUAUAGUCAAUUUUUUAGAAUGUGCCAUGGGCCCGAAAUGGACCCCGGGGCGCACCUUGGACACCCCAGCAAUACGCUUUGCACCGGGAGAAGACUUGCUUGUAUAUUGCAUUUGUACGUUCAUGCUUUUGGAGUUGUAUUUUGUGAAAUAAACGUUUUUUUGGUGAAGUGCAUGCAAGUGGCCCAAUCAUUUUCUCCACAAAUAGCCAGUAUAGUUUUUAAAAGUAAAAAUUCUGAAGACGUACCUGGAAUGAUGUGAUUCAUGAAUGACAACAUUACGCUAUGUUUGUCAUCCAGAAAGUGUAACAUGCCCCCAGCGCCGAUGCGGUGUUCUUAACGGUGACAAACGCUACAAAAAAUGCAGCAGUGAGUAUUGCUGACAGCUUUAAUGACAAUAGCGCAUAAACAGGAAGAAGCAGACGACGUGGUUGGCAUCUCAGCGAGCCCAUCCGUCUUAGAGGCACGUGGCCGUUUCCUUGGAGGGGCACAUUUGGCCGAAGCAGAUCUCCUUGAAGCCGGUCGCCUUGGUCAUCCCGCUGGCUGUAUGGUUGUAGAGGAGGCAGUAGUCGUUGGGGCUGCUGGCGGUGGUGUUGACUGAGGAGCUGCUAGACGCCUGCCAGGGAAGGACACAAGGAUGGAGGGUUUUCAUGUACGUCCACAAGAACUUUGGGGAGGACGGUGGGCUGAACUGGAAGGUGAUUUGGUUGGUUUUGUUGGUGUUGGGCGACGUGUGCGUCAUCUGGAGGACGGAGGGCGAGUACUUCACAAACUAAACAACACAACAACACAACUUGUCACACAACAACUUUCUUGCACUCCCUUGGAGCACAUUGUCACGUAUCACUAACUGUAACUAAAUGUGUUUAUUAUUUUGUAUUUUUAAUCUUGCAGACAGAAAUACAUUUGCAUACUGUGAUCAACUUUGUAUUUUUUAAGUAUUGUUAUACUUUGAAUGUUGAUGAACUGUUUAUAUUUAUUACUAUUUCUGUAUAGUUACAUUUUUGGUAUUAUAAUUAUUUACAGAGUGCACAGAAUGAUAUAAUUUUCUACACAGGGUAAAUUUAGUUGCUGAAACACAUGUUACACCUUAAGAUUGUGACCUUUAGUUGCAAUAUUCUAAAUAAUUCCAUUGCAGGGCUUAAGUAAGUAGAAGUGGGUUUUUUUGUUUCAAAAAAAGGUAGGAAUAAAGGACCAAAUAGUGUCAACUGGGCUUUGACAAUAUAUACUGAAUUUAACAAGUACGUAUUAAAUAUCCAUAUUCCCCAUGCAUUAUUUUUUUCAACAUAUUUUUCAUAUUUUGCACAAAUUGGCAUCUUUGACAUAUUUUUUUUGGUCCACAUGAAUUACAAAAUGGAAUCAUUUAUGAAGUUGUCCA